UGGCUUAGAAGCAGCCAUACAUUCAAAGAGUGCGUAAUAGCUCACUGGUCGAGUGGUCCUGCGCCGAAAAUGUAACGGGGCUCAAGUUCGCCACCGAAGCUUUGGAAUCACGUAAGUGAUUGGUAGGGGAGCGUUCUGCAGUCAGAGAAGCUGUACCGUAAGGAGCAGUGGAGAGUGCAGAAGCGAGAAUGCCGGUAUGAGUAGCGAAAAGGCAGGUGAGAAUCCUGCCCGCCGAAAGCCUAAGGUUUCCUGAGGAAGGCUCGUCCUCUCAGGGUAAGUCGGGACCUAAGCCGAGGCCAAGUGGCGUAGGCGAUGGACAACAGGUUGAGAUUCCUGUACCACCUAUUCACCGUUAUGAGCGAAGGGGGGACGCAGGAGGGUAAGCUAGCCUGCUGAUGGCUUAGCAGGUCCAAACCCGCAGGACGCAUUCCAGGCAAAUCCGGGAUGCAGAAGUCCGAGGGGUGAUGGGGAGCGAAAUUUAGUAGCGGAAGUAGCCCAUCCCAGACUGCCGAGAAAAGCCUCUAGCCAGGUGGAGGGUGCCCGUACCGCAAACCGACACAGGUAGGCGAGAAGAGAAUUCUAAGGCGCGCGAGAGAACCCUUGUUAAGGAACUCGGCAAAUUGACCCUGUAACUUCGGGAGAAAGGGUGCCCUGAUAUCGUGAAGGAGCUGGCCUCCGGAGCGAGAGAGGGUUGCAGUGAAACGGCCCAAGCGACUGUUUAGCAAAAACACAGGUCUCUGCUAAGUCGAAAGACGAAGUAUAGGGGCUGACGCCUGCCCGGUGCUGGAAGGUUAAGGGGAAAGGUAAGCGAAAGCGAAGCUUUGAACCGAAGCCCCAGUGAACGGCGGCCGUAACUAUAACGGUCCUAAGGUAGCGAAAUUCCUUGUCGGGUAAGUUCCGACCCGCACGAAUGGCGUAACGACUUGGGCGCUGUCUCAACAAGGGACUCGGUGAAAUUGAAAUACCCGUGAAGAUGCGGGUUACCCGCGACAAGACGGAAAGACCCCAUGGAGCUUUACUGUAACCUGAGAUUGGACUUUGGUGCUGGAUGUACAGGAUAGGUGGGAGGCAGGGAACCGAUUGCGUCAGCAGUCGGGGAGCCGCCGGUGGGAUACCACUCUUCCGGUACCGGAGUUCUAACUGCGGCCCGUAAACCGGGAGCAGGACAGUAUCAGGCGGGCAGUUUGACUGGGGCGGUCGCCUCCUAAAGAGUAACGGAGGCGCCC
rnacentral:rRNA from 1 species